rnacentral:lncRNA from 1 species
ACUGUCACUCCCUUGUACCCAGUGGCGUGCCAAGGCUUGAGGGCUGACAAGGUCAUCCCAUGGUCACCUGCCCUGCUUGUCUGUCUGUCCAUCCUUCAUGAGGAUGAGCCAGAACUGAGGACACAGAGACCCCUAACCACUGCUCUCUCCUGAUUCCAUCUUUCCAGGUCCAGCCCGUCCGGCUUCUCUGAAGCCUUUGCAGAACCCAGUGGCAGAGCUGGCUGUAGUUUACCUUCCCAGCCUACCCUGGAAGAGAGGAACUCACCUGCACAGAGACACUGUCUGUCUCCUUCCCAACUAAAGAGCAUGUGAUUUCAGACCCGGAAGGCCAGCUCUGGGGUGCUCCCUAAAGGCCCAUUCUCUUUUCUCACUGGCAGACACCAGGUUCUGACUCAACCUUGGCUCCUGAGCAAUGUGUAGUACCUUCUGUCCCCCCGGAGGUCCUCUUAACAAGCCCCAAACCAGGCCAUUUGCAGUGAUUCCCUCCCUGGGUCCUUGACGACGGAGCCUUGUCCACCCCGCUCUACUCGAGAGAAGAUUCAUGAGGCAGAACCAGGUGCUGAGGCCCUAUCGGUGAAGGCACCACAUGCGCGGUUUGCAGAAGGCUGAGAAAUAAGGCUCAGGCUGGGCUAAAAGUGUCUCCCCACUUCAAGCCGGCUCCCAUGGUGCCUGUCAGAAGUUGCUAUGAAGGUUGCUGGAUCCGCCACGCUUCAAGAUGGAAGUACCAGGAAAGAUGCACCAGCCUGUGUAAUGGUGAUGCGCGUAUGUGCGUGUGUGUUACUCAUUUAUAGAUAGAAUCAACUUUUCGAUUGGACUCAGGGAGAGCCACAUCAGGUGCUGGGGCCUUAGACAAAACCCUGUGACCAGGGAAGUCAUAGGCCCCAGCAGGGACACAACCGCCACAGCUGUAUUAAGUGAUGUGGCGGCUAAGAUGCUCCCCUCUGCGAUUGUGUUUGCUAUUAUAACGCUAUUAUAAUGGCUGUUUAUCAUCACCACUGUCAGUGUGUUUGGGUAUUUUCCUGUUUUUUCACGCCUUUCCUCAUUUGUGGUUUGUGUGUGUGUGUGUGUAUGUGUAAGGAAUACCCCGAGACUUGCGAUGCCGAGAGGGCUCAAGGUUUCUGUACUUUGCUGGAGUUGGAGAACAGUCAGACAUCUUUAUUACUCCCUCCAAGGACCACGGACCCCUGCAGAAAGGAGGGGUGGAAAGGAUACAGGAGCAGGAGGCAAAAGGAUCGGAGUGCUGUGCAGGGCUAUCCUCGGAGCCAAGCCGCCGCCUUCUUCAGGUCUGCUGGGUCUCUUGAAAACUCUCACUAUGGCCGGGCUUGUUGACUGUUGAUAUUCCUUUAUAUAGAAGGAGGGGUGGGUGGGUCAGGGAUCUUCACCUGAGCAUCCAGCCGUUCCUCCCAAUCAGAUUCCGUCUAGAUUGCAUGUUGCCUGAGGAAAGUGCUAGCUAGAGUAUAUAUGUGUGGAAGGACAAGGGGAGCCAACUCCAUCUACACAGCCGUGGGUGGAGGCAGCUGUGACAGGUGAAGACUGCCCAGUAGGGGUUCUUUAAGGCCACCCGGGGCUCCCACCUGUAAUCCCUCACGGGUUGCUCUGUAUAUAGGCCAAAUAUACUCUGGUUCUCUCUGAACUGCUGUGGAAUUGCACCUUGAUUUGUUGGGUCCUUAGAGGGAGGAAUAGACACUUAAUCUCUCUGUCCAAAGAAGGAAUUUUAGCAUCAUUAGUCCAUAAGACUAAGUCCCAAGAGAAACCCGAUAGGUUCCUAAAGACUUUCCACAGCAGAGACACCUGGGCAGAUGAAAACACUGGACUCAACAUUCAGCAACGUAAAACUCACCGUCAGUGUCUGAGAGCCAGUCAAAAAGUAGCCCGAAAGACUUUAAUACAAAAAUGCACUCUGGGACUGGGCUGCUGGCAACUCCCAGCUGGAGCCCGGCCUCCAAGCUGUUUGUGCAUCUUUAGCAUGUGGCAGCUGUCCUAAGUGCUCAAACCACAACCCUCCAGCCUCCCCACCUUGGAUAGGGGACACACUACCUUCUGCAGAGGGAGUGUGCAUUGCUCAGGAUGCAGAAGCAGAUGCUGGACAGGGCAGGGAAUGCCCUCAGGCUGGGAGGGCUGGCUGCUGUCAAGUGUCUUGCCGCUCUGUCUCAUUACUUCUUUCAGUGCUUCCUGAGGGCCGUGUGUCUCCAGAGCAGGGAGAGGCCAUGGCAGUAUCCAGUGCAAAUAGGGAAGAUGUUUCUAGACCCUACUGCUCCCCAGCACAGUGGCUGCAGAAGGGGCAGGGAUGAGUAUCUUGGUACCAGUUGUGAUGCAAGUCAAGGGUGAUGCUUGGUCCCGUCCUGCUCAUCCCAAGAACAUCAAGUCCAAAAGAUGCCCAAGGAAGAUGUGAGGGGCCCUCUUCUUGCAGACUAGACUCAGACAGAGCACUCUCAGGGAAUCCAUGCUAAGGGAGCACGGUGAGUCUCCAGCGGCCUCUGUCUUUCUGGAAGAAGCUGGGCUUAGGGAAAGCUACCAUGUGUCCAUGCAGGCUGAGUGGGCAGCAAGCAUCCUGCCCUUGUAGUUGAGACCAGAUCACCUUGGGCUUGGCACACAGGAAAAGGGGUCUUGAUUUCAGGUGUGAGGAAGGGUUUGGAUGCGGGCAGAUGCUUGACCUCUGCGGUUCCUUUGUAUCCAGAGUUCCUUGGCAGAGAAAAGCACACGCAGUGCUCUAAGUGAUGCACAAGGUUACCAAGGACGGAGCAGAAACCCGAAUAUAGCUGGUGGGAGGAGGGCGGCAGCUGGGAGGAGGCAGCUGGGAGGAGAAAGUAGGUCCUCGGAACAAAUGAGGUAGGGCACGGAAUUAACGAGGCUGGAAAGGGCUGAGCUCAGGGACUCGCUUUUAAAAAUUAUCUCUUAGCAAGAAAAAAAGCGAGGGAAAGAAAUUUGGACAUGGGAAAUGAUGAAGGCCGGGAAGGCAGCUCUCUAACCGGCCUCUCGUAGAGUAAGGGGGAGACACAGAUCAGUGGGUUUGGGGUGACCUCAGCUUGUCAGGCAGGACAGACAGACCUUGACAGACACAGUGCUGGGGGCGGGGGGCAAUAACUAGGGCAAACUCCUACCCACACCUGGUAGGCUUCCCAUACUACAGUCUUUGCGCUUAGCCCAGUGGGUCCCAACCUUCCUGAUGCUGUGACUCUUUAAUACAGUCCCACAUGUUGUGGUGACCCCCCCAACCAUAAAGUUAUUUUUGGUGAUAUUUCAUAACUGUAAUUUUGCUACUGUUAUGAAUCAUUAUGUAGAUAUCUGAUAUGAGAACCCAAAGGGAUUGCAGCCCACAGGUUGAGAACUGCUGGCUUGUCUUUUUUUUUUUUUUUUUUAAGAUUUAUCUUAUUUUUAUGAGCACACUGUAGCUGUCCUCAGACACACCAGAAGAGGGCAUCAGAUCCCAUUACAGAUGGUUGUGAGCCAUUAUGUAGUUGCUGGGAAUUGAACUCAGGACCUUUGGAAGAGCAGUCAGUGCUCUUAACCACCAAGCCAUCUCUCCAGCCUGGGUCUGGCUUGUUUUAUUCUCAUCUUUAGCUCUGUACUUCCUGGUUUCUUUACUUGGGCUCCUACCUUUCUGGCCCUCGUCUCUCUAGAAGUCUUCAUUGGCAGGCUCAGACUUCACCCUGCUGCUCCUGUCCUGAACAUUUAGUGGUCUUGCGACUCACCGGGCUCCUAGCAUGGGCGCAUGCGCUCAGAAACCCAGAUGUCUGUACAAUGGGACGUAUCCUAGAUAACCUUAAGGGUCCUUUCACCUGGCCACUUUAUGUUGGAACGGCAGAGAGAUGGGGCAGCCUGCGCUACUCCCUGGGUAACUAGUUGCACCCAUUCUUGUCUCUUUAGGGAGAGCGGAGGCCUUAGGUUCCUUGGGGCCCUGUGUGUCCUUCUUUGUCUCAGGGCAGGUAGCCUUCAUGCUGUCCUUGCUAUUGGUUUGGGGCUGUCUAGGCACACGGGUUCUGUAGUAUUCCUUUCUGGUCUGACCCGGGCCCUGGUCUAAUACUGAAGCUCAGUAGUUCUCAACCUUCCUAAGGCUGUGACCCUUCAAUACAGUCCUUCAUGUUGUGACCUCCCCCACCAUAAAAUUAAUUUCAUUGUCACUUCAUAAAUGUAAUUUGGCCACUGUUAUGAAUCAUAAUGUAAACAUCUAUAUUUUCCAGUGGUCGUAGGUGACCUCUGUGGAAUGGUCACUAGACCCCAAAGGGGGGUCACAACCCACAGGUUGAGAACUAUUGCUGUAGUUAGAGGGCGUGCAUGGUGGGUGGAUAUGUGCGUGUGUGUGAGCUACUUGCCUGUAUCUGACCUGUAUUAUAGCUGGUGCUGAGACAUUCACUCCUGUCCUGGUGUGGUUCCAUCCUUCACUGGAUGGAGAAGGGAGGGAGAGGAAGAAAAUGUGGGAGGUGGAGGGAGAGGUAGACACUUUUUGUUCAGAUUGAUCUACCAGGUCCCUGCAGCAGAAGGGCUCUUUUCCUGCCUCUCCCUUCCACCCAAGAAGAAAUCCCUUGGCUCUCAGCCAGAGGUCCCGCAGUUGCUUGGGAGGCAACUCAGAGGGUCCAUCUUAGGUUGAAAGAGGUAGGGAUGGAUGGGCCUGACUUUGAACUUUAGGGUCCUGCUCAUCGGAUUGUUGCUAAAAAGUACUUACUUGUUCACGAGCAUUUGUUCCGAGAGAGUGUCACGGAUCUCAGGCUGAGGGCCUCUCGCUUUAUUCAGGUAGAGUCCUCAGGGACUAGCCCUUCAGCAGCUGGAGCACCAGCCCACCAGUGGCUUUGGACUGUUUGUAUAAACCCCUAAAUAUGUCACUCUAACUCACCACCACUGGGGAUGGAUGACAGCUCUGGCUUUGACCCAGAGACUUAGCGUUCUCAGGCCAGAGGCUUUUUGCUGGAACUUGGCGCUUGCACGUGCAGCCCCUAAGCUCUUAAGCUAUUGGGUCCCUUGGUGCUUGGCUCUUCGAAGCUCUUUGGGGGCGGGAACUCCCUGUCUUAGCACUUCACAGCCACUCACCUUCCUCAGUCUCAGAACCCCACCCCCAUUUCUUCCAGCAGAGUGAGGAAGAAACAGUGGGGGGUUUCUGCCCGUUGGCUGUGUUCAUUUUGCUGUUACUGAUGAUUUAAAAACACUCCAGGGCAGCAGUUCUCAAUCUGUGGGUCUCGACCCCACGAGGAGGGCUGGAAUGAACCUUUCACAGGGUCACAUCAGAUAUCCCUCAUAUCAGAUAUUUACAUAACGAUUUAACAUAACAGUAGCAAACUUACAGUUACAAAGCAGCAGCGAAAAUAACUUUAUGGUUGGGGGUCAUCACACCAUGAUGCCUUAAAGGGUCACAGCACUCUAGGUCUUGUCUUCUCUUUAUGAACCAGCGCAGCCUGCUCUACCCACGAUGAAGGUCAUCAAAAACACCAGCAAACAUCAAAAACCUUUUCCUGGGCCUAGAGUCUGCAACACUGGUACUGGAGUACUAUAUAGGACAGACACCUUCCAGGCUAACCCCACAGUUGUGGAAACCAGCUCAUGUAUGUGAGUGAGUGUGUGUGUGUGUGUGUGUGUGUGUGUGUGUGUGAGAAGAAGGGAGGUCUCAUGCUUGUUCAUGGAUUGUGAUCCCACCGAUUAGAGCCCUGUUUGUGUGUGCACCCAUGGCUUCGGGUGCCACCGUUCCGAGCCUCACAGGAUCACCGAGCACAGAGUUUUGACUGGCUCACUCAAAAGCUCCCCUCCCCUCAGUGAGAACAGCUGUAGGAUGAACAGGGUCACCUAGAUGCCAUGAGGGUUCGCAGCUGCCCAGGCUGUUUGGAGCAGUCACGACUCACUCGAGCGGGGACUUUAUAGCACAGAAUCUGGGAUUUCAGAGUCUCCUGUGAGUGAGUAUAGAUUGGUCACUGAAGCUGAGCUGCUGCCAUGACAGGCUGAAGACAGACUCCUGACCAACGUGCCUGGGCACAAAAGGAGAAUCAGGGUUAUACUGAGCCAAUUGCCUGACUCCCAGUAGCUUUUGACUGUUACACUAAAGGCCCUUGGGAUUGUAGCUCACCUCUAAUCCUAACAGGAGGCAGAGGCUGGAGGAUCUAGGAGUUCAAUGCCAUCCUUGGCUCCUUGGCUAUGUGGCAAGCUUGAGGCCAGCCUGGGCUACAUGAGACCCAUCUCAGGAAAAAGAAAGAAAGAAAGAGAGAGAGAGAGAGAGCGAGAGAGAGAGAAAGGAAGGAAAGCAGCUUUAAUAAUGGAGCCCAGAGAUGUAGCUUUGUUGGCAGAGUGCUUGCCCCAAAAACCCGUG